AGAGUUUGAUCCUGGCUCAGGAUGAACGCUAGCGACAGGCCUAACACAUGCAAGUCGAGGGGCAGCGGGGAGGUAGCAAUACCUUUGCCGGCGACCGGCGCACGGGUGAGUAACACGUAUGCAAUCCACCUGUAACAGGGGGAUAACCCGGAGAAAUCCGGACUAAUACCCCAUAAUAUGGGCGCUCCGCAUGGAGAGUUCAUUAAAGAGAGCAAUUUUGGUUACAGACGAGCAUGCGCUCCAUUAGCCAGUUGGCGGGGUAACGGCCCACCAAGGCGACGAUGGAUAGGGGUUCUGAGAGGAAGGUCCCCCACAUUGGAACUGAGACACGGUCCAAACUCCUACGGGAGGCAGCAGUGAGGAAUAUUGGUCAAUGGUCGGCAGACUGAACCAGCCAAGUCGCGUGAGGGAAGACGGCCCUACGGGUUGUAAACCUCUUUUGUCGGAGAGUAAAGUACGCUACGUGUAGCGUAUUGCAAGUAUCCGAAGAAAAAGCAUCGGCUAACUCCGUGCCAGCAGCCGCGGUAAUACGGAGGAUGCAAGCGUUAUCCGGAUUUAUUGGGUUUAAAGGGUGCGUAGGCGGCACGCCAAGUCAGCGGUGAAAUUUCCGGGCUCAACCCGGAGUGUGCCGUUGAAACUGGCGAGCUAGAGUACACAAGAGGCAGGCGGAAUGCGUGGUGUAGCGGUGAAAUGCAUAGAUAUCACGCAGAACCCCGAUUGCGAAGGCAGCCUGCUAGGGUGAAACAGACGCUGAGGCACGAAAGCGUGGGUAUCGAACAGGAUUAGAUACCCUGGUAGUCCACGCAGUAAACGAUGAAUACUAACUGUUUGCGAUACAAUGUAAGCGGUACAGCGAAAGCGUUAAGUAUUCCACCUGGGGAGUACGCCGGCAACGGUGAAACUCAAAGGAAUUGAC
rnacentral:rRNA from 1 species